CUUGGGCUGAAAUGUAACAUGAGUUUCUUAAAAAAUUCUAUCCCAUAGGUCGAACCAACACCAUGAGGUGAGCCAUCACUGAAUUUGCUCAGCUUCUAGGAGAACAAAUUCAUGAGUCAUGAGAGAGACUUGAAGAACUUCUUAGAAAAUACUCACACUAUGAUCUAUCUAAGUGGCAAAUUGUUCAAGCUUUCUAUGAGGAUUU
rnacentral:lncRNA from 1 species